GUCUACAGCCAUACCACCCUGAACACGCCCAAUCUCCUCUGAUCUCAGAAGCUAAGCAGGGUCGGGCCUGGUUAGUACUUGGAUGGGGGAGAUGAAGUUU
rnacentral:rRNA from 1 species